rnacentral:rRNA from 1 species
CGAACGGGUGAGUAACGCGUGAGGAACCUGCCUCAAAGAGGGGGACAACAGUUGGAAACGACUGCUAAUACCGCAUAAGCCCACGGCUCGGCAUCGAGCAGGGGGAAAAGGAGCAAUCCGCUUUGAGAUGGCCUCGCGUCCGAUUAGCUAGUUGGUGAGGUAAUGGCCCACCAAGGCAACGAUCGGUAGCCGGACUGAGAGGUUGAACGGCCACAUUGGGACUGAGACACGGCCCAG